rnacentral:rRNA from 1 species
CUUAACUUCGGGAUUCGCCAUUGAAACUGUCACUCUUGAGUGCAGUCGGAGACGGCGGAAUGAGUUAUGUAGCGGUGAAAUGCAUAGAUAUAACUCAGAACACCGAUCGCGAAGGCAGCUGUCUAGACUGCUACUGACGCUGAGGCACGAAAGCGUGGGGAGCAAACAGGAUUAGAUACCCUGGUAGUCCACGCUGUAAACUAUGAUCACUCGCUGCUGGCGAUAUACAGUCAGCGGCUGAGCGAAAGCAUUAAGUGAUCCACCUGGGGAGUACGUCGGCAACGAUGAAACUCAAAGGAAUUGACGGGGGCCCGCACAAGCGGAGGAACAUGUGGUUUAAUUCGAUGAUACGCGAGGAACCUUACCUGGGCUUAAAUGUAGGGUGCAUGGAGGGGAAACCUUCCUUACCUUCGGGUCUC